rnacentral:rRNA from 1 species
GAUCAUGGCUCAGGACGAACGCUGGCGGCGUGCUUAACACAUGCAAGUCGAACGAGAAUCUACUGAAAGAGUUUUCGGACAAUGGAUGUAGAGGAAAGUGGCGGACGGGUGAGUAACGCGUGAGGAACCUGCCUUGAAGAGGGGGACAACAGUUGGAAACGACUGCUAAUACCGCAUAACGCAUAGGGGUCGCAUGAUCUUUAUGCCAAAGNUUUAUUGCUUCAAGAUGGCCUCGCG